GUGAGAACAUGCCUUUAGAUUGGGGACAACAGUUGGAAACGACUGCUAAUACCGAAUGUGCCUUAGGGUGAAAGAUUUAUUGUCUAGAGAUUGGCUCGCGUCAGAUUAGCUAGUUGGAGUGGUAACGGCACACCAAGGCGACGAUCUGUACUUGGUCUGAGAGGAUGACCAGGCACACUGGAACUGAGACACGGUCCAGACUCCUACGGGAGGCAGCAGUGGGGAAUUUUCCGCAAUGGGCGAAAGCCUGACGGAGCAAUACCGCGUGAGGGAGGACGGCUUUUGGGUUGUAAACCUCUUUUAUCAGGGAAGAAUCGAUGACGGUACCUGAUGAAUCAGCAUCGGCUAACUCCGUGCCAGCAGCCGCGGUAAUACGGAGGAUGCAAGCGUUAUCCGGAAUUAUUGGGCGUAAAGCGUCCGUAGGUGGUUUAUCAAGUCUGCUGUCAAAGCGUGCGGCUUAACCGCAUAAGGGCAGUGGAAACUGAUGAACUAGAGUGCGAUAGGGGUAACAGGAAUUCCCAGUGUAGCGGUGAAAUGCGUAGAUAUUGGGAAGAACACCAGCGGCGAAAGCGUGUUACUGGGUCUGCACUGACACUGAGGGACGAAAGCUAGGGGAGCGAAAGGGAUUAGAUACCCCU
rnacentral:rRNA from 3 species